rnacentral:lncRNA from 1 species
UUCACCAUCAGCCAAAUACUUGAGGAUGGGAAGCUGAACUUUGACAAACUUUCGGAUGCCGAAUUGAUGUCUAAGUGAGGAAGUCGGUGCUGGAUGGUUGGGGUUGACUCAUAGCAUCUCUGCUUCUGGGAGCUGGAAGCACAGCAUGACAUUCUGUAACGAAUGAGACAAGAGGACGCCAGUAACAAUCAAAGUCUCCAGAGAAGAAAGACAGGAGUCCUUUCCAGGAGUCUGAGUAUCAUAAAUUUAGCAGAAGACACUAUCAGGAGGAUGACAGGCCAUUAGAGAACUAAAGAGACACAAUACCAGUUCUGCAGCCGAUUAACUGCUUCUCUACUGAGCACAGGACAGAAGUGAGGACUCCAGCCUGAAAACCGAGUGUGCGUCUUGGGGAUCAAGUUACUGUAAGUGUGCAUGCAGGCAAAUGUAUUGCAGCGGGCGCAGGGUUCCAAAUCCAUCACUUAUGCAUAGCAUAGCAGGUACUAAAUUGGAUUGGAGGAGACUGAAGGAGAGAUUGUAG